rnacentral:rRNA from 1 species
GUUUGANCAUGGCUCAGGACGAACGCUGGCGGCGUGCUUAACACAUGCAAGUCGAACGAUGAAGCCCUUCGGGGUGGAUUAGUGGCGAACGGGUGAGUAACACGUGGGCAAUCUGCCCUUCACUCUGGGACAAGCCCUGGAAACGGGGUCUAAUACCGGAUAAUACUUUCUCUCUCAUGGGGGAAGGUUAAAAGCUCCGGCGGUGAAGGAUGAGCCCGCGGCCUAUCAGCUAGUUGGUGGGGUAAUGGCCUACCAAGGCGACGACGGGUAGCCGGCCUGAGAGGGCGACCGGCCACACUGGGACUGAGACACGGCCCAGACUCCUACGGGAGGCAGCAGUGGGGAAUAUUGCACAAUGGGCGAAAGCCUGAUGCAGCGACGCCGCGUGAGGGAUGACGGCCUUCGGGUUGUAAACCUCUUUCAGCAG